rnacentral:rRNA from 1 species
AAGCUCGUAGUGAAUUUCGGGGUUCUUCCGUUGGUCAGGCUAACAAGUCUGUACUAGCGUGUAGAAUCUCUACCUUCUGGGGAACCAUCAUGUUAUUAAUUUAGCGUGGUGGGAAACCAGGACCUUUACCUUGAAAAAAUUAGAGUGUUCAAAGCAGGCUUACGUCUGAAUACAUUAGCAUGGAAUAAUAAAAUAGGACGGUGGUCCUGUUUUGUUGGUUUCUGAAUCACCGUAAUGAUUAAUAGGGAUAGUUGGG